rnacentral:rRNA from 1 species
GACAGAGGGUGCAAACGUUGUUCGGAAUUACUGGGCGUAAAGCGUGUGUAGGCGGCCAUAUAAGUCGGAUGUGAAAGCCCUGGGCUCAACCCAGGAAGUGCACUCGAUACUGUAUGGCUUGAGUACUGGAGAGGUGAGUGGAAUUCCGAGUGUAGAGGUGAAAUUCGUAGAUAUUCGGAAGAACACCAGUGGCGAAGGCGGCUCACUGGACUGGUAUUGACGCUGAGGUGCGAAAGCGUGGGGAGCAACAGG